rnacentral:rRNA from 1 species
AUUGAACGCUGGCGGCAUGCUUUACACAUGCAAGUCGAACGGCAGCGCGGGGCAACCUGGCGGCGAGUGGCGAACGGGUGAGUAAUAUAUCGGAACGUACCCAGAAGUGGGGGAUAACGUAGCGAAAGUUACGCUAAUACCGCAUACGAUCUACGGAUGAAAGUGGGGGACCUUCGGGCCUCAUGCUUGUGGAGCGGCCGAUAUCUGAUUAGCUAGUUGGUGAGGUAAAGGCUCACCAAGGCAACGAUCAGUAGCUGGUCUGAGAGGACGACCAGCCACACUGGGACUGAGACACGGCCCAGACUCCUACGGGAAGCAGCAGUGGGGAAUUUUGGACAAUGGGCGCAAGCCUGAUUCAGCAAUGCCGCGUGAGUGAAGAAGGCCUUCGGGUUGUAAAGCUCUUUUGUCAGGGAAGAAACGGCUCGGGCUAAUAUCCUGGGCUAAUGACGGUACCUGAAGAAUAAGCACCGGCUAACUACGUGCCAGCCGCCGCGGUAA